UGUGGAUGCGGAACUGCUCGGCUG
rnacentral:piRNA from 1 species